rnacentral:rRNA from 1 species
GAUGAACGCUAGCGGCAUGCCUAACACAUGCAAGUCGAGCGGCAGCACGGGAUGCUUGCCUCUCUGCUGUUAGCGGCGGAAGGGUGCGUAACACGUGGAUGACAUACCUGUAAGCCUGGGGUAACUUCGGGAAACCGUAACUAAUCCCCGAUAAUAUUUUGAACCGCAUGGUUCAAAAGUGAAAGUCACUCCUGCUGCGGCUUAUAGAUGGUUCGGCGCUGCUUUAGCUAGUUGGUAAGGUCACGGCUUCCCAAGUCAAUGAUGCAUAGCAGACCUGUGAGGGUGAUCGGCCACACUGGAACGGAGACACGGUCCAGACUCCUACGAGAGGCAGCAGUAGGGAAGCUUCAGCAAUGGGCGAGAGCCUGACUGAGCAAGGCCGCGUGAGUGAUGAAGGUCGUCGGAUUGUAAAGCUCUGUUAUUAGGGAAGAAGGUAAGUAGGAGGAACCGUGCAUAUGUUGACGGUACCAAGCGAAUAAGCAACGGCUAACUACGUG